rnacentral:rRNA from 1 species
GAUGAACGCUGACAGAAUGCUUAACACAUGCAAGUCAACUUGAACUUCGGUUUGGGUGGCGGACGGGUGAGUAACGCGUAAAGAACUUGCCUCACAGAUAGGGACAACAUUUGGAAACGAAUGCUAAUACCUGAUAUUAUGAUUUUAGGGCAUCCUAGGAUUAUGAAAGCUAUAUGCGCUGUGAGAGAGCUUUGCGUCCCAUUAGCUAGUUGGAGAGGUAACGGCUCACCAAGGCGAUGAUGGGUAGCCGGCCUGAGAGGGUGAUCGGCCACAAGGGGACUGAGACACGGCCCUUACACAUACGGGAGGCAGCAGUGGGGAAUAUUGGACAAUGGACCAAGAGUCUGAUCCAGCAAUUCUGUGUGCACGAUGAAGUUUUUCGGAAUGUAAAGUGCUUUCAGUUGGGAAGAAAAAAAUGACGGUACCAACAGAAGAAGUGACGGCUAAAUACGUG